GUGACUGCGUACCUUUUGUAUAAUGGGUCAGCGACUUAUAUUUUGUAGCGAGGUUAACCGAAUAGGGGAGCCGAAGGGAAACCGAGUCUUAACUGGGCGAAGAGUUGCAAGGUAUAGACCCGAAACCCGGUGAUCUAGCCAUGGGCAGGUUGAAGGUUGGGUAACACUAACUGGAGGACCGAACCGACUAAUGUUGAAAAAUUAGCGGAUGACUUGUGGCUGGGGGUGAAAGGCCAAUCAAACCGGGAGAUAGCUGGUUCUCCCCGAAAUCUAUUUAGGUAGAGCCUUGAGGUGACACCUUUGGGGGUAGAGCACUGUUUCGGCUAGGGGGCCAUCCCGGCUUACCAACCCGAUGCAAACUACGAAUACCAAAGAGUGAUACUCAGGAGACACACGGCGGGUGCUAACGUCCGUCGUGGAGAGGGAAACAACCCAGACCGCCAGCUAAGGUCCCCAAGUCUAUAUUAAGUGGGAAACGAAGUGGGAAGGCUUAGACAGCUAGGAUGUUGGCUUAGAAGCAGCCAUCAUUUAAAGAAAGCGUAAUAGCUCACUAGUCGAGUCGGCCUGCGCGGAAGAUGUAACGGGGCUGAAAUAUAGCACCGAAGCUGCGGCAUCAG
rnacentral:rRNA from 1 species